GCCGACGUGGCGGAAUUGGCAGACGCGCCAGACUCAAAAUCUGGUGGCCGCGAGGCCGUGUGGGUUCGACCCCCUCCGUCGGCACCA
rnacentral:tRNA from 1 species